UCUGCGUAGAGAAACACAGAAGUUUGGGGAAGGGGAGGGGUCCGGGUGAAUUCCUCUCGGCUGCCACCCGCGUGUUCUACAACGGCCAGGGCACCGGAGCCUCCGGAGCUGGGACAGGAGUGAAUCCCAACGGAGCUGGACUGGAGCGAGAACGGUGCUGCCACCCGCCGCUCGCCCUUGGGAAUGUGGCUCCCCAGGUCCAGUGACCCUUUGGCCUGGGACCUGUGGGUGGCUGACUGGUCCCGUGGGUGACUGACUGGUGUAGACCGUAAACACCCGGAGUCACUGUCUCUGGGGGCUUGGACGGAUUCCUGGGGUCUGGGACGCAUGAAGUAGCAGAGGGCGGCGAAGGGCACAACGCGCAGGGCUAGAUGUGUCUGGCCGCGGUGCUCCACGAGGCCCUUGUCUAGGAGAAGCAAGCAGAGCCUGGUCGAUCACCCUCAGCCCAAGUCCGGCGCUGGAUGCCCUUUAUUUUUGCAGUCCUCCAUACCCGCCUCAGGCCUCGCUUUCCCGAGAGGAGGAGGCGGACUUCGGGAGCCUGAUCUCAAGCUAUGCUUGGCGCGCGGCUGUGGCUUGUGGCCUGGAGCUGUGGCCCCAGGCGCCCUGGGCGACGGGGAGGCGUGGCGAGACCACCUGUCAGCACCACGGAGUUUGGGGGACGCGGCUUUCACCUGUGCCUGCAGAGGGCGGGGCCAGAGGCUGGGCCGGGAUUUGUCGCUGGAAGCUCUAGGUCGCCUACUAUAAAAUGCUUGCAUGGGUCAAUUACCCAAAAGAAGGGUUGACUAAAAAUACCCUAAAGCCUAGACAUUUCUGCAUCUUCUAAUGCGAACGGUCACAAAGGGACUGGCCAAAAUCCAGCCUGUUUCAGAAGAAACACCGAGCCUUCGAAUUUGUUUUCCAGAGACUUGGGAGCAUUUAUAAACGAGAGCUGGAAAAGCAAACGUGGGUCUGCCCUGCUCUAGCUAGCACAGUUUUAAAGGGCUAGUAAGGCAGAGGGCCCAGGCAGACGGGAGUAAAGUUGCAAGCAAGGCGACGAAAGAAGAUAGUGCCACCUACGGGAGAAGCGUGGUUCUGACGGCAGCCUUUGACCUAGGGACCAGUGUCAUACUUAGUUCAUCUUUGAAGUCUUGCUGUUCAGCAUGAUUUUGCAUUUUUUGCUUCUCUUGGUGUUUGCUUAGCAAAUAAUAUCCCUGGAAAACAACUAAAAUGUUCAGGUGUUUGAACGAUGAUUGAUUCCAAAAGGGUCAGCUCCAUACUUACAAGGGCAGAAGAGGAUUUCUGACUAUUGUUUUAUUAUAGUAGGUAUCCCCGAAGAGCCUACGUUUAUGUCAUUUCGAUGACGCUUCUAGAAGAAGUAAGAUAAAUUACCAGACAGCCCAGUAAGUAAAGCACCUUUUGCAAGCUUGAGAGACAGUGUGACUCCACAGUGCCCACGUCUACUUCCAGAAGCCUCCCGGAAGCCCGCCUAGCCAAGACAGUGUGCUGCAAAGUUAGAGAAAGACUGUCUUUAAAAAUAGGGUGAGAAAAACAUAAGACACACAACGUGGGGGUGGGGGGGUGGGGGAGUACCCACAUCAGAUAAAUUUAUAGAAGCAUUAGAGCUGUCUAUUUCAUGAAUUGGAAAACAUUUGCAAAUCUCUGCAUAAAUUAUAUGGUCACUUUUCACCCAACCAUUCAAUGAGUAUGUAUGGGACACUUAUUCUGUGCUGGGUCCUCAAGAAGGAAUGCUAAAGACAGAUGGCAAUCUUCAUCCAACAUGGAAGCUUAUAUGACAGAGGAGUAUUUACCAUAUAAAGAAUUAUAUGAACGAAAUCUACAUUCCUCAACGUUUGUAAUUAUUUAAUAUAUUAAGAAAAUAUAAAUAUUCAAUAUUCAUUGUAUAUGGCAUAUAAAAAUGUGUGAUAUUACCGUAAGGUGUGAUUUCUUCCCUAACAAGGUAGGGCUUCUGAGGAUGGUUGUCUUGUUUCUCUCUUUUCUACAAUAAGCUUAGAAAUGAAAACACAACAUGCUGCAUGCGCUCACGACUGCCGUCCCCAAGUUAGAUGUCCUUAAGACUUGCAGUGAUGAUGUUCAUGUAGAGCGCUGUCCCACAGCCUGAAGGCCCUGCACUGGAUUCCUAGCACCACAGAGGAGAAGGGAGCACUGCACUGUAAACCUUAGGUCUGCCCCUCCCAGCAACAGAUGCUGAGCCCCUUGGGCUUCUUCCUACCGUCUCUUCCUACGGUCAGGACCCAGGCUCCCCCCCUCAGCUCUUAGCUUCCUUGACAGUCCAGACAACAUUUACAUUUCAGAUUCUUCAGGUUGGCAUAUAAAGACUAGGUUUUGAGCAUUUUCUGCCUCUUUGGGCUCCUUUUCAAUAGAUCUACUAAUUCAUUCAACAAGAAGCACUUAUCAAAUAUAGAGCAUUAUGCUGGUCACAGAGGGAUUGGAAGGUAGGAGAAGCAGUGAUCUUUUGACUCUCUAACUGAAAGCCCGAAGUGUAUUUGUGAUAUACAUGUACAGAUGCAUACACACACACACUAAACACACACUCACGCAUAUGCAGUAUCAAGUGGGUCAUGUUGAGGCAAGAUUCAGAGUUGAGAAAGCCCAAAAGAGGCAGGCCUUCUGACAGGAAAUGAAGAAAGCCACCAUGGUUCUGUUACCUUCUGAGUCUGAGCUAGUGUUAAUGGAAUGAAUUGCUUUAGCCGAGAUGGACAAAAUUUUAAACAUAGCUGACAGCCAGUAAGACGUGGAUGUAUAGAUAUUGUUUGUAUCCAUAUGGUUUCUGGAGAAGUCCAUGUUUGUGUGUUUUAAGUCCACAUUCAUUUUGGCAGUAGGUAAGACAAGGCGAGCAAAGGCCCUCCUCCAUCUUGCAACUGAGUGUCAGCAGCAAGCCAUCCCAUGGUCUCUAAGUUAGGAAUAUCCCUUUCUGGAUGACCUGGUAAUACAAUUUUUAGAACUCUUCUAAAGUAAAAGCACUAUUAGUGUAAGACAAACAGUAUUAAAGUAUAAGAUAGACAAAAAAAUGUUUAUUUCAGCAUCAUUUGAAAUAGCAAGAACAGAAUAGAAUCAUGGGUCAGUAAACCUUCAAAUGUCUACCUCAGUGCACAUGUUUUUGAAAGUAAAUUAUAUUUGAGAACAGUGCUUCCAAAUGCAACAGAUUAAUGGACACCUCGAGGUGCAUAUAAGUAAAUUAACAUGUGAACAAA